rnacentral:lncRNA from 1 species
GCGCGCCUCCUGCCUACAUAACAUCGUCCCCAUUCUUCAAGAAAUGAGAACGUCUAAAAAACUCUCCUUGGGUGGCAGCUACUCAAGACCAUGUGUUGCAGUUCAAAGCUGGACGUGAAGUUGGUGUUGGGCCGUGAUCGUGAAUGAAGAAUUGAACCCCUUCAAUUCACGUGCUACACCAUUUCCUUAUGGACGCUGCUGGAUGUGUCUUCUGGAUCAGAACCAGG